rnacentral:rRNA from 1 species
UCCGUAGGUGGCAAGCGUUGUCCGGAAUUAUUGGGCGUAAAGCGCGCGCAGGCGGUUCUUUAAGUCUGAUGUGAAAGCCCACGGCUCAACCGUGGAGGGUCAUUGGAAACUGGGGAACUUGAGUACAGAAGAGGAAAGCGGAAUUCCACGUGUAGCGGUGAAAUGCGUAGAGAUGUGGAGGAACACCAGUGGCGAAGGCGGCUUUCUGGUCUGUAACUGACGCUGAGGCGCGAAAGCGUGGGGAGCAAACAGG